CAUCUUGAAAUCCAAGGAGGGACAAAGCAAUUAGUUUAAAAUAAUUCAUUCUUUAAUGUUUAUCCUUACAUUCUCUCUCUAACUUUGUCUCCAUCCAGGAAUACCAGGUUGAAUCAAUAAUCAAAAUUGCUACACAUAUUUUUGUGAGUGGAACAUCUAUACUUGUGUGAGCUGUUCACUGAGAAUCUGUAACGCACAGGACAGGCGGAGAGGUCAGCUAAGAAACAGCAGAAGACAGAAGACAAGACUGCAGUGAUAGAAAAAGAUGGAUAUCAAGCCAAAUGCAACAGCACUGCGUGCUGUCGGGCAACAGCAAAGGAUCCCUUUGCAUGCAAAAAGAAAGUUGCACAAUAUGAAGGAAGCAGUAAAAAUGAAAUGAAGUAGAAGAGACAUGCAGAAAGAAAAACGUUCUUGGAUGUGUCACAAUCGUCUUGAUUCUUUACCUGGAAAACCUGUAUUUUUUCCUUUGUAAUUAUCUAAUAUACUUUGUGUCAAAGAACAAGGACCUGAGUUCCACUUAAAGAAGAUGAAGAAGUUAACAGAUACCAUUUUCGGGUUUUAUCAUGAAAUUAGAAAUGAAAAUUUUCAGUUUCUGGUAGUCAUGAACAGAGAGCCUCAGGUAAGCCCGAGAGUGCAGGCAGACAGUCAGGAUGCUCCUGCGCAGGCUCCUCAGGUGCAGCUGUGCUGGUGGGAAAAAUCAUGCUGUUUAGCCUAACGAGGCAAAACAGAAUAAAGGCCAAGGUAAUUCAGUAGAGAGGGUCUUAAAUGCACAGCUGUAUCAGCUGCUGCCUCCUUCCCACCUGGUCUUCAUUUUUUCUCUGUGUAAUCUGUUUGCUUCCCUACUGGGCCUGCUAACAUUAUCUGAUUCCAGGCCAAACUGAUAUUAAUCAUUUGUUAUGAGGUCCUCCAAAAUUAAUAAAAUUUGAGUUUGUCAUCUUGGUGUUCCAUGAACUAAAGUUAACUACGUGUUAAACCCUAAAGUCCACUUGUUACACCAGGAUCAGGCUAAGAUGUAAAUCUCCAUUUGAACUACAGAACAGCUGCACUCCUCUUGAAACUCUACAUGCACAGAGAGAUGUUUGUUUGUAAGUGGAUACAAUAGACAGAGUGCUUGUUGGUGUUUUAAAAGCCAAAACCUGGAAUACUUUUCUUUUGACUUUACAUAUGGAGAAAAUUACGGUGUAAAAUGUAGAGGAGAAUAAAAUAAUACCAAGAUGAGUAAGUCCAUUAAAAAAAUGUAGAUGAGCAAAUGACUUUAGCGUUAUUAAUGCUGACUGGGAAUUUGACUGGCCAAAUGAGCAUGUUUACACUUGGGACCAAUUAAAAGGCUUACCAUUUUAAUCACUGGCAGAACUGGACAUUCAGUGUUUUCCUGGAUGACAAGGGUUUUCUUGUUUUUUUCAGUUUGGCUUUGUUUUGGUCUAGCAACUGCACCAGAGUGUCCUCAGUGUAGAGAAGAUAACAAUACACUACCACAGUGUUAGUAACAAUAUCUUGUUACUAACAUUUAGUAACAGUGUCUCAGAGUCUCUCUACAGCUUGAGGGGAAAACAUUGUUGCCAUUCCUACCCUGAGGAAAAGCUACAGUAACUGAAUGUUUCCAGAAGUAGAAACAUCCUACCAGUCCAGAACCUCCACGUGGACCUGACCUCUCAGCUUUCCCUGACUCCCCACCAGGGCAGCUGCUGUGUAGGAUCCGCUGUAACGUACCAACGGCACAGGUGGUGCAGUGCGUUGGGGCUGGACUCAUGGAGAAUGUCCAGGAGCUUCCCAAGAAGACCCCUCCAACAUUACUAGGCAAAAAGAUGGAUCGGGAACACCCUCCUAAGCCCCGGGAAUAGUUCCUCCUGAAAUAAUUAAAUAGACACACAUCUUUCAGCUUUGAUUAUUUUUAAAUCAGCCUGAAAAGACCAGCUUUCAGAUUCCUGAAGAAAUUGCAAACAUAUCUUUUUAAAAAAAUUAUGGGGAUCAAACUCAAAGACCUUCUACAUUGGCUAUUGGCACACAUUUCAUUCCUGGAGAUGGUUAGAAUAUGGUGUUUCUAAAAUGAGAAGGACUUAUCUUUUCUCCUCUACUUUGGAACUAAGAUGAGGUAAGUGGCCAGAUACCUCCCCCCUCCAAC